GGAUGAACGCUGGCGGCGUGCCUAAUACAUGCAAGUCGAGCGAACAGAUGAGGAGUUUGCUCCUCUGACGUUAGCGGCGGACGGGUGAGUAACACGUGGAUAACCUACCUAUAAGACUGGGAUAACUUCGGGAAACCGGAGCUAAUACCGGAUAAUAUAUUGAACCGCAUGGUUCAAUAGUGAAAGACGGUUUUGCUGUCACUUAUAGAUGGAUCCGCGCCGCAUUAGCUAGUUGGUAAGGUAACGGCUUACCAAGGCAACGAUGCGUAGCCGACCUGAGAGGGUGAUCGGCCACACUGGAACUGAGACACGGUCCAGACUCCUACGGGAGGAAGCAGUAGGGAAUCUUCCGCAAUGGGCGAAAGCCUGACGGAGCAACGCCGCGUGAGUGAUGAAGGUCUUCGGAUCGUAAAACUCUGUUAUUAGGGAAGAACAAAUGUGUAAGUAACUAUGCACGUCUUGACGGUACCUAAUCAGAAAGCCACGGCUAACUACGUG
rnacentral:rRNA from 1 species